rnacentral:lncRNA from 1 species
GCUGGGAAGACUAUUUAUUUAUUGAACGCGUCAUUGUUGAACAUAUCCUAUGUGUUAUGCUCACGGAGGAUAUGGCAGUGAGUGAGUAAAGCCCGUGCGUUAAAUCCAGCACGAAGAUGUGUUCAGGGUGGUCUUCGCGGGGCUUUUACGAUUGUCGACAUUUAAAACUUAGGAGACACCAUGUAAAAUUCUGGUUUCCCAGCUUCUCUUGAAAAGUGGCAAUGUCUGAUGUCGACUGGCCAGAUUUCUGCAAAACAGCAAACUGGCUGGCGGGUGGUUUGCUGUCAUCUCCACCUACUCCCUAUUGUUCCCCAACACCAAGGACGACUGUCACUUACAACCGUGUCUAAAAAGGGCAGCAUAACCUCCUGGUUUCAAGGAAGCCCAGAGAUCAAAGCAAAGGAAAAAACUUCAGGAUCUGGUUUUGAAGAUACGUCAUUCGGAUGCCGACUCAGAACUGCCAAGAUAGAGCACGAGGCACCUUCGACUGGUCGGGAGUCCCUCGAGAGAUGUCCCUGAUCUGUUAUUACUGGAAUUUGCAACUCCUGUAAAAAGCUGCCGAGGGCAUGACUCACCGAGCUGAUGUCCAAACCACUGCCUCCACAGCUCACCAUCCUGUCCCCGCGUCUCCUCCCUCUUUCUGCAGCUGCAACCCGAGAGGCAUUUGCUCCCUCCAGGGAGGCCCCCCCGCCCCCGCCGGGGUCCUGGCCGGGCCAGCUGCCUCUGCACAUUGCAGGUAGCCAGAAUUUCCUGCAUUCUGGGGAGAAAGAAGUAUGCCUGGAAGAGACCAGACAGUGGAAGCCUCCUCGUGGUAGGGCACUUUCCUAGAGGGAGAACCACCGAGCAGCACCUGGAAAUCGCCUGGAUCACUGUUACAAGCUCUGACACAGUAAAUGCAUUCAGGACAGCUCCAGGGCGCGAACGUCUUUUUUGCAUUUCUCAUUAAUUACUUUGGUUCUCAUGCAUCUGGGAAUUUGCAACAGCCUGAACCAGAUGCAUUAGGGUUUAGUCUAGCUUUUUUUUUUUUUUUUGCUUUUUUGCUUUUUGCAAGCUUCCUUUUUACUGUAUUUUUGUCUGCAUUUUCCCCAUGCUUAUACCUGUCUAAGAGGUAAUUUAUCAGCCUUGCCCGGUUCUAUCUAGCUGAUCCAGCAGUGGCGUGAGAGGGCGGUCAGGUCACGAUGUGAUUGUUAUAAACUCAGCUCACUGGUUGACACAUACACCCUACCUAGAAUUGAAAGGCUGUGUACUCACUCAGAGUUCCUCUGAGUCUUCAGCUGGCAAAGUCUUCAUGAUUUCUCUCAACCUGAGACGCACCAUUCAGAACCCCCCCCCCCCCCCCCCAGCCACUUUACAAACUCUCAUUUCACUUGGUGGAAGAAAACAAGGAGCUUUAGAUUCAGAUCUAGGUUUGAAUCCCAGCGCCAUCCAUCACUGGCUGGGUGGUCCUAGACAUGGGUUAUUCUCUGAGCCUCAGUUGGCCGUCUGUUAAAAUGGGCUUACUACCUACCUCACGAUAUCA